GACGAACGCUGGCGGCGUGCCUAAUACAUGCAAGUCGAACGCUUCUUUCCUCCCGAGCGCUUGCACUCAAUUGGAAAGAGGAGUGGCGGACGGGUGAGUAACACGCGGGUAACCUACCCAUCAGAGGGGGAUAACACUUGGAAACAGGUGCUAAUACCGCAUAACAGUUUAUGCCGCAUGGCAUAAGAGUGAAAGGCGCUUUCGGGUGUCGCUGAUGGAUGGACCCGCGGUGCAUUAGCUAGUUGGUGAGGUAACGGCUCACCAAGGCCACGAUGCAUAGCCGACCUGAGAGGGUGAUCGGCCACACUGGGACUGAGACACGGCCCAGACUCCUACGGGAGGCAGCAGUAGGGAAUCUUCGGCAAUGGACGAAGGUCUGACCGAGCAACGCCGCGUGAGUGAAGAAGGUUUUCGGAUCGUAAAACUCUGUUGUUAGAGAAGAACAAGGACGUUAGUAACUGAACGUCCCCUGACGGUAUCUAACCAGAAAGCCACGGCUAACUACGUG
rnacentral:rRNA from 1 species